rnacentral:rRNA from 1 species
UACGAAGGGGGCUAGCGUUGUUCGGAUUUACUGGGCGUAAAGCGCACGUAGGCGGAUCGUUAAGUCGGGGGUGAAAUCCUGGGGCUCAACCCCAGAACUGCCUUCGAUACUGGCGAUCUAGAGUCCGGAAGAGGUGAGUGGAACUCCUAGUGUAGAGGUGGAAUUCGUAGAUAUUAGGAAGAACACCAGUGGCGAAGGCGGCUCACUGGUCCGGUACUGACGCUGAGGUGCGAAAGCGUGGGGAGCAAACAGG